rnacentral:misc_RNA from 1 species
CGAAAUGCGAUAAGUAGUGUGAAUUGCAGAAUUCAGUGAAUCAUCGAAUCUUUGAACGCACAUUGCGCCCCUCGGCAUUCCGUGGGGCAUGCCUGUUCGAGCGUCAUCUACACCCUCAAGCUCUGCUUGGUGUUGGGCGUCUGUCCCGCCUCCGCGCGCGGACUCGCCCCAAAUGCAUUGGCAGCGGUUCCUUGCCCCCCUCUUUGCGCAGCACAUUGCCAUUCGAGGCGGCGGCGGCCCGCGUCCAACAAGCUCAACCCCCCCGUCUUUGACCUCGGAUCAGGUAGGGAUACCCGCUGAACUUAAGC